rnacentral:rRNA from 1 species
CCUACGGGAGGCAGCAGUGAGGAAUAUUGGUCAAUGGGCGCGAGCCUGAACCAGCCAAGUAGCGUGAAGGAUGACUGCCCUACGGGUUGUAAACUUCUUUUAUAAAGGAAUAAAGUGCGGCACGUGUGCCUUGUUGUAGGGACUUUAUGAAUAAGGAUUGGAGAACCCCGUGCCAGCAGCCGCGGUAAGACGGAGGAUGCGGGCGUUACUCGGAUUUAUUGGGUUUAAAGGGAGUGCAGAUGGGUUGUUAAGUCAGUUGUGAAAGUUUGCGGCUCAACCGUAAAAUUGCAAUUGAUACUGGCAGGCUUGAGUACAGUGGAGGUAGGCGGAAUUCGUGGUGUAGCAGUGAAAUGCUUAGAUAUCACGAAGAACUCCGAUUGCGAAGGCAGCUUCCU